AAAUGACGUAUAAAAAGAAAUAUUUAUUUAGUAGUGUAACGUUUCGUCUUGGUUCUCAAGACAUCAUCAGACAGUAUUGAAUUACAAGUAUAAAGAAUUCGCUUUCCGUGCGGUAUAUCGAUAUCCCUGGUCACUAUUCUGAAAGGAUAACAAUGGAGUUUUUCAACUAAGGUAAAAAUUGGAGUUUUUCAAAAUAAUGUUUCAACAGCAUUUGAUGUCUUCAGUAUUAGUGACAAUAUUAUGUAAAUGAUUUAACAUAUAUGAUAGUAAUGUGAUGCAGUGGUAAUUCAUUUAAAUAUAGGUAAAUUAUAUACAAUAAAAUAUUAACAUGAA